rnacentral:rRNA from 1 species
CGGAGGAAAAGAAACCAACAGGGAUUGCCUCAGUAGCGGCGAGUGAAGCGGCAAAAGCUCAGAUUUGAAAUCGUGUUUCGGCACGAGUUGUAGAUUGCAGGUUGGAGUCUUUGUGGAAGCGUGUGUCUAAGUCCCUUGGAACAGGGUGCCAUUGAGGGUGAGAGCCCCGUGAGACGCGUGCGGAAGCUGUAAGGCCCUUCUGACGAGUCGAGUUGUUUGGGAAUGCAGCUCUAAGUGGGUGGUAAAUUCCAUCUAAGGCUAAAUAUUGGCGAGAGACCGAUAGCGAACAAGUACUGUGAAGGAAAGAUGAAAAGCACUUUGAAAAGAGAGUGAAACAGCACGUGAAAUUGUUGAAAGGGAAGGGUAUUGGGCUCGACAUGGGAUUUGCGCACCGCUGCUCCUUGUGGGCGGCGCUCUGUGCUUUUCCUGGGCCAGCAUCGGUUUUUGCCGCAGGAGAAGGCGUGCUGGAAUGUGGCUCUUCGGAGUGUUAUAGCCAGUGCGAGAUGCUGCGUGCGGGGACCGAGGACUGCGACAUCUGUCUCGGAUGCUGGCACAACGGCGCAAUACCGCCCGUCUUGA